rnacentral:rRNA from 1 species
AUGAGCGUCAGUCGAAACAAACAAAAAACAAAAAAGAACUCUAGCCAGCAUUCGGCUCUUUUCUUUUUCUUAAGACUUUCGUUCGGUUGUGUCGUCGAUGACAAAUGGUUCGUUGGUUUACAAAUGGUCGGUCUAAGCCCGCCGCCGCUGUUUUCGCGCCUCCGUGGUCGGGGCCGGGGUGGCGGCGGGCUGGUUGGUCGAAGCCUGCUGCCACUGUUUCCGCUCCUCCGUGGUGGGGGCCGGGGUGGUGGCGGGCUGUGUAGAGUACCAGACUUGCUGAGCCUGGGGAAGAGCUUGGAAGAGGAGACAAACCUUUUUGCUCAGUUUAUUCUCGUUGUUGUUGUUCCGUUUGCAUCGUUUUGCUUCUUCGGGGUUGAUUUUUUCACUGCUGGUUUUACGCUUUGGGGGGCAUUGCUCCUGCCUAUAGCUUCCAUGGAUUUCUGUUUUGCAGGAACUGUUUGCUUCGCUUGGCGCAAACAAGAUUCUCACGUGGAUGGAUGA